AUGUUUUCCCGCUCUUUUCUCCCCUCACGUUUCCCGCCCUUUUCUGCCCUCACAUUCCCCAUUUUCUCCCCUCUUCCCCCUCACGUUUUUCGCCAUCUUUUCCUCUCAAAAUUCCACUUUUUCUCCUCUCACAUUUCUCACUUUUUACCUGUUUUCAACCCUUUUCUCCCCUCACGUUUUCCCGCCCUUUUCUCCCCUCACGUUUCCCUUUUCCCCCUCACGUUUUCCCGCUCUUUUCUCCCCUCAUGUUUUCCCGCCCUUUUCUCCCCUCACGUUUUCCCGCUCUUUUCUCCCCUCACGUUUCCCGCUCUUUUCUCCCCUCACGUUUCCUGCUCUUUUCUCCUCACAUUUCCACCCUUUUCCCCUCACAUUCCCACCCUUUUUCCUUCAUAUUUCCUUCUCUUUUCCUCUCACAUUUUCUACUCUUUUCCCCACCCUUUUCCCCUCACAUUUCCUGCCCUUUUCUCCCCUCACGUUUCCCGCUCUUUUCCCCUCACAUUCCCACCCUUUUCCCCUCACAUUUCCACCCUUUUCCCCUCACAUUUCUCACCCUUUUCCCCUCACAUUUCCACCCUUUUCCCCUCACAUUUCCCACCCUUUUCCCCCUCACAUUUCCACCCUUUUCCCCUCACAUUUCCCACCCUUUUCCCCCCCUCACGUUUCCUGCCCUUUUUCUCCCCUCACAUUUCCCGCCCUUUUUCUCCCCUCACGUUUCCCGCUCUUUUCCCCUCACAUUUUCCACUCUUUUCCCCUCACAUUUCCCAUCCUUUUCCCCCUCACAUUCCCACCCUUUUCCCCUCACACUCCCCACCCUCCAUUCCUCUCCACCCUCAUUUUCUCCAUUCCCCCGCCCCUCCGCACACCCAAACAGGUGACAACAGCACAGGUGAACAACACCCUCACCUGAACCGUCCAGCUGCUGGGCAUAUCCAGGUAGGAAGCGAUCUCGGCUUCCCAGAACGCCGGGAGCUCCGCGUGCACCUCUGGCAGCUUGGUGCCUGAAGAGAAGGGACGGCAACAUGGCGGUCAGGAGGACACACGGAACCUUCUGGAAUUCCCUAACCGAAUUCCUUACGUUUCUGCCGGGAGAGGAAGGUCAUGAGGGAGCAGAGGAUCUCCACCACCGUCCCGCUGCUUUCCUCUUUCCUCAACAACUUCAAGAAAAGAUGGCCCAGCAGCUUGCCCAGCGCCGGGAUCUGUCCGCCGGCAGCGCCGCUCUCCUCCUUUCCACCCGUCCGCAGGAAAACAGGUGAGUGAAAAAUUAAAAAAAAUUUAAAAAUUAAAGGUGGGGAUUUGAGGUUUGAAGGUGUUUUAGGGUCCAGGCUUUUACCUGCACAAUGGAAGAGUCGGAUAAAAAACGGCUCAGCAGUUUAAUCCUGCCCAUCACUCUUUCCUGCACGGCCGCUGUGUCGAAGAAGAAAUACUCCAGCAAAACCUGGCCAAAAAAAAAGGUGCAAAGUUGUUGGGAUGAGACACAAAAAAAAACUUCUUUGAGGUUUUUUAUAUUAUCCAAUUUACAAAUGUUACGUGAAUUGUUUUUGUUAGGGGUCCUGUGUGCUGAACUCUGGCAUUUUCUAUGCAAUAGAAAUAAAACUUCAG
rnacentral:lncRNA from 1 species